rnacentral:tRNA from 1 species
GCGGAUGUAGCUCAAUGGUAGAGCACCGGCCUUCCAAGCCUGUGAUGCGGGUUCGAUCCCCGUCAUCCGCU